CCUACGGGAGGCAGCAGUGGGGAAUAUUGGGCAAUGGGCGCAAGCCUGACCCAGCAACGCCGCGUGAAGGAAGAAGGCUUUCGGGUUGUAAACUUCUUUUGUCAGGGACGAAGCAAGUGACGGUACCUGACGAAUAAGCCACGGCUAACUACGUGCCAGCAGCCGCGGUAAUACGUAGGUGGCAAGCGUUAUCCGGAUUUACUGGGUGUACAGGGCGUGUAGGCGGGACUGCAAGUCAGAUGAGAAAACCACGGGCUCAACCUGUGGCCUGCAUUUGAAACGGUAGUGCUUGAGUACUGGAGAGGCAGACGGAAUUCCUAGUGUAGCGGUGAAAUGCGUAGACAUUAGGAGGGACACCAGUGGCGAAGGCGGUCUGCUGGACAGCAACUGACGCUGAGGCGCGAAAGCGUGGGGAGCAAACAGGAUUAGAUACCCCUGUAGUCC
rnacentral:rRNA from 1 species